rnacentral:rRNA from 1 species
UGGAGGGCAAGUUUGGUGCCAGCAGCCGGGGUAAUUCCAGUUCCAAUAGCGUAUAUUAAAGUUGUUGCAGUUAAAAAGCUCGUAGUUGAAUUUCGGGGUUCUACCGUUGGUCGGGCCAUUGUCUGUACUGGCCCGUGGAAUUUCUACCUUCUGGGGAACCAUCAUGUUAUUAAUUU